UAGGGAAUAUUGGACAAUGGGGGCAACCCUGAUCCAGCCAUGCCGCGUGAGUGAAGAAGGCCCUCGGGUUGUAAAGCUCUUUUGUCCGGAAAGAAAAGCUUCGGGUUAAUACCCCGGGGUUCUGACGGUACCGGAAGAAUAAGCACCGGCUAACUUCGUGCCAGCAGCCGCGGUAAUAAGAAGGGUGCAAGCGUUACUCGGAAUUACUGGGCGUAAAGCGUGCGUAGGUGGUUGUUUAAGUCUGAUGUGAAAGCCCUGGGCUCAACCUGGGAAUGGAAUUGGAAACUGGGCAGCUAGAGUGCGGGAGGGGGUAGUGGAAUUCCCGGUGUAGCAGUGAAAUGCGUAGAGAUCGGGAGGAACAUCUGUGGCGCAGGCUACUGCCUGGCCCAGCACUGACACUGAGGCACGAAAGCGUGGGGAGCAAACA
rnacentral:rRNA from 1 species